rnacentral:rRNA from 1 species
UACGAAGGGGCUAGCGUUGUUCGGAAUUAUCUAGGGCGUAAAGCGCACGUAGGCGGAUCGAUCAGUCAGGGGUGAAAUCCCAAGAGGCUCAAACCUCUGGAACUGCCUUUGAUACUGUCGAUCUGGAGUAUGGGAAGAGGUGAGUGGAAUUCCGAGUGUAGAGGUGAAAUUCGUAGAUAUUCGGAGGAACACCAGUGGCGAAGGCGGCUCACUGGUCCAAUUACUGACGCUGAGGUGCGAAAGCGUGGGGAGCAAACAGGAUUAGACUACCCUA